rnacentral:rRNA from 1 species
AGUGAACGCUGGCGGUAGGCCUAACACAUGCAAGUCGAACGGCAGCACAGUAAGAGCUUGCUCUUACGGGUGGCGAGUGGCGGGCGGGUGAGGAGUACAUCGCAAUCUACUUUUUCGUGGGGGAUAACGUAGGGAAACUUACGCUAAUACCGCAUACGACCUACGGGUGAAAGCAGGGGAUCUUCGGCCCUUGCGCGAUUGAAUGAGCCGAUGUCGGAUUAGCUAGUUGGCGGGGUAAAGGCCCACCAAGGCGACGAUCCGUAGCUGGUCUGAGAGGAUGAUCAGCCACACUGGAACUGAGACACGGUCCAGACUCCUACGGGAGGCAGCAGUGGGGAAUAUUGGACAAUGGGCGCAAGCCUGAUCCAGCCAUGCCGCGUGGGUGAAGAAGGCCUUCGGGUUGUAAAGCCCUUUUGUUGGGAAAGAAAAGCAGCCGGCUAAUACCCCGCUGUUCUGACGGUACCCAAAGAAUAAGCACCGGCUAACUUCGUG